rnacentral:rRNA from 1 species
AGAGCUCAAAUUUAAAAUCUGGCGGCCUGCGGUCGUCCGAGUUGUAAGCUAGAGAAGUGCCGUCCGCGCUGGGGCCGUGUACAAGUCUCCUGGAACGGAGCGUCGUGGAGGGUGAGAACCCCGUCUGUGACACGGACCUCCCAGGGCAUCGGGAUGGCGCCCUCAAAGAGUCGAGUUGUUUGGGAAUGCAGCUCCAAAUGGGUGGUAAACUCCAUCUAAAGCUAAACAUUGGCGAGAGACCGAUAGCGAA